rnacentral:lncRNA from 1 species
AGAGGAAAGAAAUCAAAGUUGUUGUGUCACACAAAAAAUAACACAUAUUAUUCAAGCUCCUCCAUACCCAAGGGAGGUGAGGUGGGUCCUUUUGUCCUUUCUGAACAUUAUUUGAUAAGGAAAGGGCAAGAAUAUGGCCAAAUAUCUUUCAUCCAGAGGAAAUUAAUUGUCUUGGUCACAUCCAUCAAGAGUUACAUAAUAGUUAUUGCAAUAAAUUUUUUAAAAAUCAGGUACUCAAUUUUUUAAAAGAAAUUCUUAUCAGUUGGGAUCAAUUUAUGAUCUCGUACUCCUUGAUAUUCAGUCGUUAGGACAGCCUCCAUUUCUCCUAUAAAUCACGGUUCUAAAAGGAAGAUGGGUCUCCCCAAGGGAAGCAGAUGGCUUGGUGCCUGGAUGAGUCACACAGCUAAGAAUAUUUGCUUUGUCCAUUCUUUCCCCUAUGACUCCUCACUCUGUGCUGGAUUCCUAAACUCCACAAGGAUGUUCUGACUGAGGAUUCCAUACACUCAUGAAAACUCACAGAGCCGUGCCUGCCACUUUGAAAACUUGUGUGGCACGAAAACAGUGCUUUAAAGAGCAAACCAAAACAGUUUUCCUCGCUAGGAUAUGGGGCAGAGGAGCUGUAUUUUUUGAAACAGACUAGUGGGAAGAAAAAUGCAUUUCUCCAAGGAAAAUUUUCAGGCAGGUUGAUGUCAUUGCAAUCAUAAAAUAGGAUAAAGCAAUGGAUUUGGGAGUUCCCACUGUGCCUCAGUGGGUUAAGAAUCCAACUACUAUCCAUGAGGAUGCAGGUUCAGUCCCUGGCCUCCCUUAAUGGGUUAAGGAUCCCGCAUUGCCACAAGCUGCAGAUGCAACUCAGAUCUGGCAUUGCUGUGACUGUGGUGUAGACCUGUAGCUGCAGCUCCGAUUUGAUCCCUAACCUGGGAACGUCCAUAUGCUACAGGUGCAGCCCUAAAAGGAAAAAGGAGAAAAAAAGAAAGAAAUGGAUUUGAAAUAAAAGACUUCCUCAUCUGGGGAUAAUUAGUGUCUGGGGCAAAAGUUUGCUAAGACCAGGAUUUCAUAUCACUAAGUAGGAAUAAUUACAGGGAAGCAGGAAACAGUCUAAUCGGUGGGCUCUCUGAUUCAAGAUGCGUGUACUAAGCACAGACUGCAUGGAUAGCGCUAUCUUAUAUGCAUCACAGAGUCCAGCAGAAGUAUGUUUUUGACCUGAUAAUAUGAUUAAGGAAAGAAUUGUUUGGUUGAAAAUCAAUUGCACUGGCUACCCACUACCUGGUGAGCUUAAAAUCUGACAUUUUUUUUUUUCCAUUUUCGUUCCUCUCUUGGAAUGACUUUAAAAUGUCAUAUUUUUUCUUAGGCGCAGUAGGGGUUUCAUUUGCAAUAUCAGCAACACAAAAACUUCACAAGAAAUGCUAAAAUGCAUUAAUGGAAUCAGUGGAAAGCUAUGGGCAUAAAUGUGUUCUUCUUCUAAUGGAAUCCCAUUCUCAUUUUCUUUUCUCAACAGUGAGACAAAUGGCAUAAAACCGAGACACUGGCGUUGUUACAUAAUGGGUAAAACAGUCGGGAAAAUGAACUCAUGGGAUGGUACUCUCCAUCCAUUUGAAAGUUAAGUCUAAGGCUGGGAAUUAACUAUGCUUUUUUUGAGAGUUUUCUUUGUAUCACAGUUUUGCAACCUGGACACUAUUGGCGUCUGGGGUCAGAUCAUUCUUGGUGGUGGGGACGGUCCUGCGGGUCAUGGGAUGUUCAGCGGCAUCCCUGGCCAUAUCCGACAGAGGCAGCAGCAGCCCUCAGUGCGACAUCCCAAAUGCCUGUCUCCAGAGGCUGACUGUCCCCUGCUUUAUAAUGAGAACCUCUGCUUUAUUUGGACGCCUAAGAGGCAGAAAAUUGUGUGAGUUGCUUUGGGCUAUGAGAGCAAAUUUUGCAUGCAAUACCUCCCAGUUGCUCUACGUUAAACCAAGAAAUGACAUAGUCCAGGAACUAUAGCAUUACAGAAUGUAUUUUGUUUAUUUUUUUAAUUUUUUAAUGGCGGUAUGGUUGGUCCCAUAUGAUGUAAGUUUCAGGUGUAUAACUUUGUGAUUCACACCUUUGAAAGGUUAUACUCUAUUGAGAGUUAUUAUAAAAUAGCAACUGUAUCCCCUGUGCUGUGCAAUAUUUCUUUGUACCUUAUUUAGUUUCUACAGAGGACUUUGUAUCUCUUAAUCCCCUACCCCUAUCUUGCCCCUCCCUACUAGAAUUUAUAUUUUUAUUGUGAGACUCAAGUUUCUUUUCGCAAGAAAAAGAUGAAAGGCAUUGUGAUGCCUUGGUCCCAGUGUAGCCUCUGCCGCCUGAGUCCCAAGUUCAUGCCUAAAUGCCCUGAGCAAAGACCACCUGGAGCUUCUGCUCCAACUUGUACGCCUGGGAGUGAGUGAUAAUGACUAACUCUGUGCACCCUGGGAACAGAGGAAACCACGAAUGUACUGAUUCUACCACUGGUCUACCUCCUGGGAGGAUGGCAAACUGUUUAUCUUUGGAUUUGCAAGGAAGAGACCACAAAGGGAGCUCUGAACCUGACCCAUCCGCAGCUUUCCAAAGCCUUCAUUUUCCUAUUUAUAAAACGGUUGGGCAUCCUUUUCUCUUGGACUUUUCUUGCCUCAAAAGAUUUGAGCAGGUCUCCGUAGUUUUUAUGGCGCUCCUUGGAGCUUGGUAGGAUAUAGACAUAAAGAACAGUGAACAGUGAGAGGGCAUCGGUCACCUUUUAAUGGCAGGUCAGUCCAGGCUUAGGUUUUAGAUCAGCAUCCAAGUGAACCAUCAGAUGAGAUUUGUACCCUCACGAGAUACAGGAAUUGUCAGGAUGGAUGGUCCUUGCCAGACAUUUCAGGCACAUUUGUCAUGAUGGACUAUGUUCUUUUUCUCUAACUUUGUAUUGUCCCGACCUCCUUCCUCUGCAUUUGUCUCAUUUUCCUACCAUAUCGCAGGGCUUUUUUCCCUCUAAGCUCCUUUACUGGAUCCUCCCUUCUGCAAAAUAUAUGGUUUAGGGUUUACAGGACCCUGUUCUCAGCCCUCCUCUCCUCACCACCCCCCUCCUGUGUGAUCUCAUCCAGUCCCACAAUUUCAAAUGCAAUACAGCCUGCAUCACUCCACUGAGUUUGUCUUUCAUCCAGCUUGAUAACUCCACCUUGAUACAAAUGAACAUCUCAGACUUAACAUGGCCAAGGGACAGCCAUUGAUGUCUAUCUCUCAACCCCCAUCCUCUCUCAAAUCUGCAAGGCAUCCUUCCUUUGCUUCAUACUCAUAUCUAGUUCUUCAAAAUGUAUUCCAGUUCCCUUGUGAUGCAGCAGGUUAAGGAUCCAGCCUUGUCACUGCAGUGGCUCUGGUCCCUGCUGUGGCCAUGGAUUGAAUCCCUGGCCCAGGAACUUCCACAUGCUGCAGGUGCAGCCAAAAAAAAAAAAAAAAAA